CUAUUUCACAACUUUCAGACCAUACAUUUCUCUCUUUUCCCAAAGAAAACAAGAGGAUAUGGCAGCAGAGCUAUUUGUUACGUUUGUCAUUGAGGAGGCUUUGAAAAAGGUGAGUUCCAUAGCUGCUGAAGGGAUCAGACUUGCUUGGGGAUUUGAGGGACAGCUGCAAAAGCUCAAUCAGUCCUUGACCAUGAUCAAAUAUGUGCUCCAAGAUGCAGCCAGAAGGCCAGUCACAGGCAAUUCUGUGAAGUGUUGGCUGCAGAACGUACAGGAUGUAGCUUAUGAUGUUGAAGAUGUUCUCGAUGAGUUUGCUUAUGAGAUUCAUCGCAGAGAACAACAGGAGAGAACGGGACUUGACACGGUAUGUGACUUUGUAUCCCACAACCCUAUUGCAUUCAAUCAUGUGAUGGAUGAAGAAGUUAAGAAGAUCAAUGAAGCCCUGGAUGAAAUUUGGAAAGUUGCAGCUGGAAUCAGUCUUGUAUCGACAUCUCUACCUGUAGAUGGAGCUCCUGAAGUUACCCAGUAUAUAGAUCGAGAGACAGAUUCAAUCCUGGACACCGUUGUAGUAGGAAGGGAGGAUGACGUCUCAAAAGUUAUGAAAUUGCUGAUUGGCUCGAUUGAUCAACAAGUUCUACCUGUUGUCCCUAUAGUGGGGAUGGGUGGCCUCGGAAAGACUACUGUAGCAAAAAAAGUUUGUGAAGUAGUGAGGGAGAAAAAGCUUUUUGAUGAAACAAUAUGGGUUUGUGUUUCUAAUGAUUUUAGUAAAGGGAGGAUUUUAGGAGAGAUGUUGCAAGAUGUUGAUGGAACUAUGUUGAGCAAUCUAAAUGCAGUUAUGAAAAAACUUAAGGAAAAGCUGGAAAAGAAGACAUUUCUUCUUGUUCUUGAUGAUGUGUGGAAUGAAGACCAUGAUAAGUGGGAUGAUUUGAAGCAACAACUGUUAAAAAUCAACAGUAAGAAUGGGAAUGCUGUUGUUGUUACAACGCGCAUUAAGGAAGUAGCGGACAUGAUGGGGACUUCUCCAGGGAGCCACCACGAGCCAGGGCAACUUUCAGAUGAUCAAUGUUGGUCCAUUAUCAAGCAAAAGGUGAGCAGGGGUGGACGAGAAACAAUAGCUUCAGACUUGGAGACUAUUGGAAAAGAGAUUGCCAAGAAAUGUGGAGGGAUUCCAUUACUUGCUAAAGUUUUGGGAGGAACUCUUCACGGAAAGCAGGCACAGGAGUGGCAGUCAAUUCUAAACAGUAGAAUUUGGGAUUCUCAGGAUGGAAAUAAAGUUUUGCUCAUAUUGAGACUCAGUUUUGAUCACCUGUCAUCGCCAUCACUGAAAAAAUGUUUUGCAUACUGUUCCAUUUUCCCUAAAGAUUUUAAAAUUGAAAGGGAAGAGCUGGUUCAACUUUGGAUGGCCGAAGGUUAUCUUGGGACAUCAAAUAGGAGGAUGGAAGACGAAGGCAACAAGUAUUUCAAUGACUUGCUUGCAAAUUCCUUUUUCCAAGAUGUCGAAAGGAAUGAGUAUGAGAUCGUAACAAGUUGCAAGAUGCAUGAUCUUGUGCAUGAUCUUGCAUUGCAGGUCUCAAAAUCAGCAGCGUUAAAUCUGGAGGCGGGUUCGGCUGUUGAUGGUGCAUCUCAUAUUCGUCAUCUAAAUCUCAUAACUCGUGGGGAUGAUGAGGCAGCAUUUCCAGCGGUUGAUGCUAGAAAAUUGCGAACUGUUUUCUCAAGGGUUGAUGUAUUCAAUGCGUCUUGGAAAUUCAAAAGCUUGAGAACUCUCAAAUUGCGACGGUCUGAUAUCACAGAGUUACGAGAUUCAAUUUGCAAGCUGAGACAUUUGAGAUAUCUUGAUGUCUCACGUACCAGUAUCAGAGCAUUGCCAGAAUCCAUCACCGACCUCUACCAUUUGGAAACAUUAAGAUUCUCUAAUUGCAAGUCACUAGAAAAGCUUCCCAAGAAAAUGAGGAAUUUAGUGAGCUUGAGACAUCUUCAUUUUGAUGAUCCAAAGCUAGUGCCAGCUGAGGUGAGACUCUUAACACGCCUUCAAACAUUGCCUUUAUUUGUUGUGGAUCCAAAUCAUAUGGUUGAAGAGCUGGGAUGUUUGAAUGAACUAAGAGGAGAAUUGCAGAUAUGCAAGCUUGAGCAAGUUAGAGACAGAGAAGAAGCUGAGAAGGCAAAACUGCGUGAAAAAAGAAUGAACAAAUUGGUGCUUGAAUGGAGCCUUGAAGGUAACAACAAUGUCAACAACGAGUAUGUGCUAGAAGGCCUGCAACCUCAACCAGACAUAAGAAGCUUGACAAUUAGGGGUUACGGGGGUGAAGAUUUCCCAUCAUGGAUAUUGCAACUCAAUAAUCUGACGGUGCUGAGAUUGAAUGGUUGCAGCAAGAGCAGACAACUCCCAACACUUGGAUGUCUUCCUCGCCUUAAGAUUCUAGAGAUGAGUGGAAUGCCUAAUGUGAAAUGUAUAGGCAAUGAGUUUUAUAGCAGCAGUGGCAGUGGCAGUGCAGCAGUACUGUUUCAAGCACUAACAGAACUCACUCUGUGCGGUAUGGAUGGUCUUGAAGACUGGAUGGUACCAGGUGGAGAAGUUGUUGCAGUAUUUCCUCGUCUUGAAAAGUUGAGUGUUAAGAGAUGUGGCAAGUUGAAAAGCAUUGCGAUAUGUCGUCUUUCAUCUCUUGUACGAUUUGAAAUUGACGGAUGUGAUGAACUGAGAUGUUUUUCUGGUGAAUUUCAUGGCUUCAUGUCUCUUCAAAAUUUAAGGAUACGGGGUUGUCCAAAGCUAGCAUCCAUUCCAAGCGUACAACACUGCACAGCUCUGGUGGAAUUGCAUAUAAUGGGGGACUGCAGGGAAUUGAUGUCAAUUCCUGGUGAUUUCCGAGAAUUGAAAUAUUCUUUGAAGAAAUUGGAAAUUUGGGGAGGUAAAUUAGCAGCUCUUCCAAAUGGACUGCAAUGCUGCGCAUCUCUAGAGGAAUUGCAGAUAUUGAAUUGGAGAGAGCUUAUCCAUAUCAAUGAUUUGCAAGAAUUGUCUUCGCUUCGAACAUUAGAGAUUGGUUGUUGUGGUAAGCUCAUCAGUUUUGAUUGGCAUGGUUUACGACAAUUGCCUUCUCUUGAAAAAUUUAAAAUCACUUGGUGUCGGAGUUUGAGUGAUAUCCCAGAGGAUGAUUGCUUAGGCAGCCUCACGCAACUGAAGGAAUUGAGCAUCGGUGGUUUCUCAAAUGAGCUGGAGGCUUUUCCUGCAGGAGUUUUAAACUCAAUCCAACACCUCAACUUGAGUGGGUCCCUUAAAAGACUAGAGAUACAAGGAUGGGAUAAACUGAAGAGUGUACCCCACCAACUUCAACACCUCACUGCCCUCGAGUCAUUGGAUAUAUGUGAUUUCGACGGGGAGGAAUUUGAGGAAGCAUUGCCAGAUUGGUUGGCCAACCUUUCUUCUCUUCAACUUCUUUGUAUUGCUAGUUGCAAGAAACUCAAGUAUCUGCCAAAUUCAGCAGCCAUGCAACGCCUCUCCAAAUUAAAGACAUUGCAGAUUGUUUAUUGUCCACUUCUAUCAGCAAAUUGUAGAGAGGAGGAUGAUUGCUUAAGCAGCCUCACGCAACUGGAGGAAUUGAGCAUCGGUGGUGGUUUCUCAAAUGAGCUGGAGGCUUUUCCUGCAGGAGUUUUAAACUCAAUCCAACACCUCAACUUGAGUGGGUCCCUCAAAUCCCUAUGGAUAUAUGGAUGGGAUAAACUGAAGAGUGUACCCCACCAACUUCAACACCUCACUGCCCUCGAGACAUUGCGGAUAUGUAAUUUCAAUGGAGAGGAGUUUGAGGAAGCAUUGCCAGAAUGGGUGGCCAACCUUUCUUCUCUUCAAUCUCUCGGGAUUUAUAACUGCAAGAAUCUCAAGUAUAUGCCAAGCUCAACAGCCAUUCAACGCCUCUCCAAAUUAAAGACGUUGAGUAUUGGGGGGGAAUGUCCACAUCUAUCAGCAAAUUGUAGAAAGGAGAAUGGCUCUGAGUGGCCCAAGAUUUCUCAUAUCCCAGAAAUCUAUAUAUGGUAGAGGGUACACGUGUACAGGGAUGGCAAAUUCUGUUUCCAGCAGCAUCAGUACAAAAGUUCUUCUCCAUUACCAGUAUCACACGUCCAUAAAAAAACAGUGAGAGAGGAUGGUAUUGCUUGGCCAGCACCGUAGACUAUCAGCUGUAAAUAGAUGCAUAGAAAUCCACAAGAACUAGUUUCAGUCAAUACUUCACAUGAACAAAGAUCGAACCUCUAAGACUGAAGGAAGCCACAUAAUGGUUAUUUAAAGCUUCUGCAGAAUAGUGUUUGUCGGGCUGGAUGGUGGAUAAACAUGUGAGUUGCACAGUUUUCUGUUGUCUUUAUGAGAUAAGUAUAUUUAAUAGAUAGUAAGAAAAUGCAUGGAGCUGGAAGCUUAUCACGAAAAUAGAAGAGCUUAAUGAGGGCAUGGAUGUGAAUUCUUAUCUGUGUGCAAUGUAACUUCUCUUAUUUUAUAUCAGAUUUUGUUUCUUAACAUUUAAGAAUUCUACUUUUAUAUAUCCAUAAAUGUUUUUCAAA